GCAGCGCGGUGGCCUAAUGGUUAGUGCAUUAGACUGCGGAUCGAGUGGUCCGGGUUCGAUCACUGGACAGGUCAUUUUGUUGCA